rnacentral:sRNA from 1 species
UUGAUAAAUUUCAUGUAAUUUACUCAACCGUUUCUCUACUGUUGGAUGUUUAGGUUGUGUCCAGUUUUUUGAUAUAAUCACAACCCAUGUUUGUUGAGCAUGGACUGUGUGCUCAGCACUGUCAUGGACAUUUCCCUUGCAGUAAUUUGUUUACCCCUAAAAACAUCCUGGUGGGAAAAGUGGUUUUAUUAUCCCCAUUUUACAGAUGAAAAAACUGAGGCCCAAAGUUAGAGCAGGAUUUAAACCCAUGAAGUUUGACCCAGAGCCUGUUUUGUAAUCAUGCCUCUGCUAUUUCUCACAUCAUCAUGCCUGCCCAUAUUCUGGAUGGUUUCCUUAGGAUAGAAUCCCGGAAGUGAAAAUGGGUCAGUGCAGCCAUAGUGUACACCUAGAAGGGAGUGGCUGGGGUCAGGAGAGGGCGUUGGCUGAAGGGGUUAAGGAAUGGAGGGGCCAAGGUAAUGGGAGGAUCAUCCACAUGGAAGUUGAAGUCACCAAGAAUUGAACCAGGAGUGAUUUUGGAGAAAGUGCUGGUGAGCCAGGAGCUAAAAACCCUUACAGAUGACAGGGCGCAGCCUGGGAGCCUUCCAGAAGUAGAGGUUGGUACAGAAGCAUGAUGUAAGGGGAAGAACAGUCCAGGGAACAGCAGUGAGGAGCAAGGAGGACACAUACCAGCCUCCAGGUCCAUGGUCCAUGGGAUACGGGAGGGGAAAUCGCCACCCGUGGGGCCAUGGGAAGUUUCAGAGAUUAGAGAGGGGUGGGAGAUGAGUCAGACCAGGCAAGCGCCCAGCUGUGAGGUCUGGAGACCGGGCUCACACAGGAGCCUGCACUUGUGGAGGUUACCAAGGCACAGACAAAGGACGUCGUGAUUUAGCUGCUAAUGGGCCAAGACAGAUAGUGAUGGUGAGGCAUACGUUCUGGGGACAGGAGGGGUGGAGCCUGCGCGGAUGUGGUGCCGUCUUCACUUCUGCUAGUGGGACCGAUGAAACUGUGAAAUAAAAAGUCCAGGGACCGGGGCAGGGCCCUGGGGUUCCUGGAGAUGACUUCCAAGGGGAAGUUCAUGGAGAAGUCAGGGAAGGAGUGGGGAGAGCCUGUUCGGUGGUGACAGAGGUAUAGAGGCCAUGGGCUCUCUUGGACACCAUUUGAUUCUCAGGUCACACUGAAGUACAGCAAGCAUUAAGUAGAGUAAACAUCGCUAUUGUUGCUUGGGAAAGAAUUGCAGUUUCCAUCCAGAUAAUUUGUUUCAUGAGGAAUUUUGUACUAGAAAAAAUUACUUUGUAUUAUUAAAAAAUAGUAAAACAAACAAAAAUGGUGCAAAGGGCUUAGUACUUGUCCCACGACCGGGGUCUGACUUUCCCCCUCACGAUCCUGUGGUGCCCACAGCGAACCCAUCCUACGUGCCUCCACCCCAGUGCCAGCCGGGCGAGUUUGCCUGUGCAAACAGCCGCUGCAUCCAGGAGCGCUGGAAGUGUGACGGAGACAACGAUUGCCUGGACAACAGUGAUGAGGCCCCAGCCCUCUGCCAUCAGCACACCUGCCCCUCGGACCGAUUCAAGUGCGAGAACAACCGGUGCAUCCCCAACCGCUGGCUCUGCGACGGGGACAAUGACUGUGGGAACAGUGAAGAUGAGUCCAAUGCCACUUGUUCAGGUGUGGAGUGGGGCUCAGAUCACACGAGGCACCCCUCAGUCAAGGAGGCAGGGGAGACGAGGGGGCCAGGUUCAGUGGCUCAUGCCUAUAAUCUCAGCACUUUGGGAGGCCGAGGUGAGAGGAUCACUUGAGCCCAGGAGCUCAAGACCAGCCUGGCCAACAUAGUGAGACCUCCCACUCUUUACAAAAAAAAUUUUAAAAAA